AGUUGCCAGCGAUUCGGUCGGGGACUCUAGAGAUACUGACCCGGUUAACGGGGAGGAAGGUGGGGAUGACGUCAAGUCCUCAUGGCCUUUAUGACCAGGGCUACACACGUACUACAAUGGACCGGUACAAAGGGCAGCGACACAGCGGAUGUGAACGACGAACUCCCGAAAAGCCGGUCUCAGUCCGGAUUGGAGUCUGCAACUCGACUCCAUGAAGUUGGAAUCGCUAGUAAUCGCGGAUCAGCACGCCGCGGUGAAUACGUUCCCGGGCCUU
rnacentral:rRNA from 1 species